GCGGGAGUAGCUCAGUGGUAGAGCUCCUGCCUUCCAAGCAGGCUGCCGCGGGUUCGAAUCCCGUCUCCCGCU
rnacentral:tRNA from 1 species